AAUGGGGGGGUAGACCAAAUCUCAGCCCGGUUCAUCGAUGGGAAAGGCAAUGAACCGGCAUGUCAAAAGUGGCACAUAUCCCUAUAUCCUGCCCCAAAGCUCCAACCCCCGAAAACUUCACCCACAAUCAGGUUCUAUGGACUCCCCGUGGCCUGAAACGUGCUCCUAACACAAUUCUGGAAGGUGAAAAAUUGGGUCCGCACUUAGGAAAAUCUUCAGAUUUUGGGAAAAUCUUCACAUUUUCCUAACCCUAACCCUAACCCUAGCUCCAACCCUAACCCUAACCCUAGCUCCAACCCUAACCCUAACCCUAGCUCCACAACUAACCCUAACCAUAGCUCCAGCCCUAACCCUAACCCCUUGCCCAAAGUCUCACCCUAACCCUAACCGUCGGACAUGUGCAGCACCACCUCUGGUCAAAAGCGGUAUGACACCCCUUUUUGCAAAGUCGCCCUCAAAUGACAGGAAAUGGCCUGAAACGUGCUCACAAUGCAUUUUCAACACUUCCAGACAAGUACAACACUUGCAAACACUGACUUUGGCCAUUUUUCCGCUCCCAUUCAUUUUCAAUGGGAAAUUUUCACUUCGCCAUAACUUUUGAUAGGAAUGUCCGAUCGCUGGUUCAUUACUAUUUCUAGAUUCAGCAUACCCGAAAAUGGGGGGUAGACCAAAUCUCAGCCCGGUUCAUCGAUGGGAAAGGCAAUGAACCGGCAUGUCAAAAGUGGCACAUAUCCCUAUAUCCUGCCCCAAAGCUCCAACCCCCGAAAACUUCACCCACAAUCAGGUUCUAUGGACUCCCCGUGGCCUGAAACGUGCUCCUAACACAAUUCUGGAAGGUGAAAAAUUGGGUCCGCACUUAGGAAAAUCUUCAGAUUUUGGGAAAAUCUUCACAUUUUCCUAACCCUAACCCUAACCCUAGCUCCAACCCUAACCCUAACCCUAGCUCCAACCCUAACCCUAACCCUAGCUCCCAACUAACCCUAACCAUAGCUCCAGCCCUAACCCUAACCCCUUGCCCAAAGUCUCACCCUAACCCUAACCGUCGGACAUGUGCAGCAGCACCACCUCUGGUCAAAAGCGGUAUGACACCCCUUUUUGCAAAGUCGCCCUCAAAUGACAGGAAAUGGCCUGAAACGUGCUCACAAUGCAUUUUCAACACUUCCAGACAAGUACAACACUUGCAAACACUGACUUUGGCCAUUUUUCCGCUCCCAUUCAUUUUCAAUGGGAAAUUUUCACUUCGCCAUAACUUUUGAUAGGAAUGUCCGAUCGCUGGUUCAUUACUAUUUCUAGAUUCAGCAUACCCGAAAAUGGGGGGUAGACCAAAUCUCAGCCCGGUUCAUCGAUGGGAAAGGCAAUGAACCGGCAUGUCAAAAGUGGCACAUAUCCCUAUAUCCUGCCCCAAAGCUCCAACCCCCGAAAACUUCACCCACAAUCAGGUUCUAUGGACUCCCCGUGGCCUGAAACGUGCUCCUAACACAAUUCUGGAAGGUGAAAAAUUGGGUCCGCACUUAGGAAAAUCUUCAGAUUUUGGGAAAAUCUUCACAUUUUCCUAACCCUAACCCUAACCCUAGCUCCAACCCUAACCCUAACCCUAGCUCCAACCCUAACCCUAACCCUAGCUCCACAACUAACCCUAACCAUAGCUCCAGCCCUAACCCUAACCCCUUGCCCAAAGUCUCACCCUAACCCUAACCGUCGGACAUGUGCAGCAGCACCACCUCUGGUCAAAAGCGGUAUGACACCCCUUUUUGCAAAGUCGCCCUCAAAUGACAGGAAAUGGCCUGAAACGUGCUCACAAUGCAUUUUCAACACUUCCAGACAAGUACAACACUUGCAAACACUGACUUUGGCCAUUUUUCCGCUCCCAUUCAUUUUCAAUGGGAAAUUUUCACUUCGCCAUAACUUUUGAUAGGAAUGUCCGAUCGCUGGUUCAUUACUAUUUCUAGAUUCAGCAUACCCGAAAAUGGGGGGUAGACCAAAUCUCAGCCCGGUUCAUCGAUGGGAAAGGCAAUGAACCGGCAUGUCAAAAGUGGCACAUAUCCCUAUAUCCUGCCCCAAAGCUCCAACCCCCGAAAACUUCACCCACAAUCAGGUUCUAUGGACUCCCCGUGGCCUGAAACGUGCUCCUAACACAAUUCUGGAAGGUGAAAAAUUGGGUCCGCACUUAGGAAAAUCUUCAGAUUUUGGGAAAAUCUUCACAUUUUCCUAACCCUAACCCUAACCCUAGCUCCAACCCUAACCCUAACCCUAGCUCCAACCCUAACCCUAACCCUAGCUCCACAACUAACCCUAACCAUAGCUCCAGCCCUAACCCUAACCCCUUGCCCAAAGUCUCACCCUAACCCUAACCGUCGGACAUGUGCAGCAGCACCACCUCUGGUCAAAAGCGGUAUGACACCCCUUUUUGCAAAGUCGCCCUCAAAUGACAGGAAAUGGCCUGAAACGUGCUCACAAUGCAUUUUCAACACUUCCAGACAAGUACAACACUUGCAAACAC
rnacentral:lncRNA from 1 species